UACAGAGGGUGCAAGCGUUUAAUCGGAAUUACUGGGCGUAAAGAGCUCGUAGGUGGUUUGUCGCGUUGUCCGUGAAAACUCACAACUCAAUUGUGGGCGUGCGGGCGAUACGGGCAGACUGGAGUACUGCAGGGGGAGACUGGAAUUCCUGGUGUAGCGGUGGAAUGCGCAGAUAUCAGGAGGAACACCGAUGGCGAAGGCAGGUCUCUGGGCAUUAACUGACGCUGAGGAGCGAAAAGCAUGGGGGAGCGAACAGG
rnacentral:rRNA from 1 species